CUCCUACGGGAGGCAUUCAGUGGGGAAUAUUGGGCAAUGGGGGAAACCCUGACCCAGCAACGCCGCGUGAAGGAAGAAGGUUUUCGGAUCGUAAACUUCUAUCCCGGGUGAAGAUAAUGACGGUAGCCCGGAAGGAAGCCCCGGCUAACUACGUGCCAGCAGCCGCGGUAAUACGUAGGGGGCAAGCGUUGUCCGGAAUGAUUGGGCGUAAAGGGCGCGUAGGCGGCCAACUAAGUCUGGAGUGAAAGUCCUGCUUUUAAGGUGGGAAUUGCUUUGGAAACUGGAUGGCUUGAGUGCAGGAGAGGUUAGCGGAAUUCCCGGUGUAGCGGUGAAAUGCGUAGAGAUCGGGAGGAACACCAGUGGCGAAGGCGGCUAACUGGACUGUAACUGACGCUGAGGCGCGAAAGUGUGGGGAGCAAACAGGAUUAGAUACCCUGGUAGUCCACACUGUAAACGAUGAAUGCUAGGUGUAGGGGGUAUCGACCCCUUCUGUGCCGGAGUAAACACAAUAAGCAUUCCGCCUGGGGAGUACGGCCGCAAGGUUGAAACUCAAAGAAAUUGACGGGGGCCCGCACAAGCAGCGGAGCAUGUGGUUUAAUUCGAAGCAACGCGAAGAACCUUACCAGGUCUUGACAUCCAGGUAAAGCUGUAGAGAUACAGUGUGUGCUUGCACAAUCUGAGACAGGUGGUGCAUGGUUGUCGUCAGCUCGUGUCGUGAGAUGUUGGGUUAAGUCCCGCAACGAGCGCAACCCUUGUGAUCAGUUACUAACACGUAGAGGUGAGGACUCUGAUAAGACUGCCGGGGACAACUCGGAGGAAGGUGGGGACGACGUCAAAUCAUCAUGCCCCUUAUGACCUGGGCUACACACGUGCUACAAUGGCCACUACAGAGAGAAGCGAAUUCGAGAGGAAGAGCGGAUCUCAAAAAAGUGGUCCCAGUUCGGAUUGUGGGCUGCAACCCGCCCACAUGAAGUCGGAGUUGCUAGUAAUCGCGGAUCAGCAUGCCGCGGUGAAUACGUUCCCGGGCCUUGUACACACCGCCCGU
rnacentral:rRNA from 1 species